rnacentral:rRNA from 1 species
GCUCCUCUGAUUUAGCGGCGGACGGGUGAGUAACACGUGGGUAAUCUGCCUGUAAGACGGGGAUAACUCCGGGAAACCGGGGCUAAUACCGGAUAACAAGAGAAGAAGCAUUUCUUCUUUUUGAAAGUCGGUUUCGGCUGACACUUACAGAUGAGCCCGCGGCGCAUUAGCUAGUUGGUGAGGUAACGGCUCACCAAGGCGACGAUGCGUAGCCGACCUGAGAGGGUGAUCGGCCACACUGGGACUGAGACACGGCCCAGACUCCUACGGGAGGCAGCAGUAGGGAAUCUUCGGCAAUGGGCGAAAGCCUGACCGAGCAACGCCGCGUGAGCGAUGAAGGCCUUCGGGUCGUAAAGCUCUGUUGUUAGAGAAGAACAAGUACGAGAGUAACUGCUCGUACCUUGACGGUACCUAACCAGAAAGCCACGGCUAACUACGUGCCAGCAGCCGCGGUAAUACGUAGGUGGCAAGCGUUAUCCGGAAUUAUUGGGCGUAAAGCGCGCGCAGGCGGUCUCUUAAGUCUGAUGUGAAAGCCCACGGCUCAACCGUGGAGGGUCAUUGGAAACUGGGAGACUUGAGUGCAGGAGAGAAAAGUGGAAUUCCACGUGUAGCGGUGAAAUGCGUAGAGAUGUGGAGGAACACCAGUGGCGAAAGGCGGCUUUUUGGCCUGUAACUGACGCU